CCUGCAGGGAAGGAGCGCAUCAGACUUCAAGUUACACACAAAAAAAUGAUCUGGAUGUCAUAAUAUGCCAUCAUUUGAGACAGACAAUUAAGCUCUUUAGUUUAACAAACAGCAGUCAUCAGAAAAAGGGGUUCAAAAGUAUUCAUCAAGUAAAUACAGAGAUUCCGGAGAAGUUGUCAUCAUUUGACUGCUGUAAUCAAGUCUAUUGUCUGACUAAAGAUGGUCAACAUGCUGUCCGAGCUGAUCUUAGUCUUAUUUUGAUCACAACACUUUACUGAACAUGUAUUCUGGCAAUUCAGUGAACAAGCAAAGUGACUGCACACUCAACCUUAAUACAUAACAAUUAGCAUUUACAAGUACAGACAAAUUGAAUUCUUAUGCUUUAAACAGUACAUUUAUCUUCAAACUAACCCUUGAUCCCACAAUGACUCAUUGCUAGAAAUUAUGAGAAAAUUAUACAAUGCUGAGGAUGUAAGCUGCACCUUCAGUUCACAAGGACAUACAUUACUUACAUUCACAUCUUUAAUGUUGAGAAUGUGUGAU